rnacentral:pre_miRNA from 1 species
CAAGGACGGUACUUACGUAAGCAACGUCUUUGAAAGUUCACAAACAAAGACGGUGCAAGCAACGUCCACAAACAAAGACGGUGCAAGCAACGUCGUAUUUGUUUGUGAACUUUCAAAGACGCUGCUUAUGUAAGCACCGUCUUUU